rnacentral:rRNA from 1 species
GACGAACGCUGGCGGCGUGCUUAACACAUGCAAGUCGAGCGGUAAGGCCCCUUCGGUGGUACACUAGCGGCGAACGCGUGCGUAACACGUAAACAAUCUGCCCAUCACAUUGGGAUAACUCCGGGAAACCGAAGCUAAUACCGAUUACGACCAACACCUUCAUCGGAUUGGGUCGGUAAUUUCCGGCGGUGAUGGUUUGGCUUGCGGGCUAUCAUGUAGUUCGUGAGGUAACGGCCCACCAAGGCUGCGACGGAUAGCCGGCAUGGGAGGGUGACCGGCCACCCGGGGACUGAGACAGGGCGCAGACUCCAACGGGACGCAGCAGUGGGGAAUAUUGGACAAUGGGGGAAAGCCUGAUCCAGCAACGCCGCGUGAGGGAUGACGGCCUUUGGGUUGUAAACAUCUUUCAGCAGAGACGAAGCGCAAGUGACGGUACCUGCAGAAGAAGCACCGGCCAACUACGUG